rnacentral:rRNA from 1 species
GAUGAACGCUGGCGGUGUGCUUAACACAUACAAGUCGAACGGUGAAGCAGAGCUUGCUCUGUGGAUCAGUGGCGAACGGGUGAGUAACACGUGAGCAACCUGCCCUGGACUCUGGGAUAAGCGCUGGAAACGGCGUCUAAUACUGGAUACGAGACGUGGCCGCAUGGUCAACGUUUGGAAAGAUUUUUUGGUUCAGGAUGGGCUCGCGGCCUAUCAGCUUGUUGGUGAGGUAAUGGCUCACCAAGGCGUCGACGGGUAGCCGGCCUGAGAGGGUGACCGGCAACAAUGGGACUGAGACAAGGCCCAGACUCCGACGGGAGGCAGCAGUGGGGAAUAUUGCACAAUGGGCGAAAGCCUGAUGCAGCAACGCCGCGUGAGGGAUGACGGCCUUCGGGUUGUAAACCUCUUUUAGCAAGGAAGAAGCGAAAGUGACGGUACCUGCAGUAAAAGCGCCGGCUAACUACGUGCCAGCAGCCGCAGUAACAC